CCCACGGACCAAUCAGCAUGCACUUCCCCAUUCUAAGCCCAUGAAAACCCCAGGACUCAGCCUCACAGAUGGCUAACCGGCUUUCAGGACAAGAACUUGGAACUUGCUGAGCUGGGGAUGGCGGGAGUAAAAGAGUUGUAACCUUCCCUUCUGCUCCCCAAACAAUGUGAGAGAAGAAACCAUUAGACGCCACUCUCUCCUGUUAGCCCAACUGCCAGAGCGGAAAAAGUUGUGACGUCACUGGCUUACUCAGCAAGCUAACUGUGGGAGGUGGGAGUAGAAGAGCUGUAACCUCUCCCACUCGAGGAACUACCCUCCUGCUUGACAAAUUACAGGAGCAAAAAAGCCACGUAUCAGAGGAGACUUCAGGGACUGGGGAGCAGGGAAGCAUUAGAAAUAAUAAAGAACAUUCUCUUUUUCCAAUCUCCAAACACAUAUUUAAUCGGCAUAAUGUAACUGAUGGAUGUCCUCCACAAAAAUAUCUAGAGGUGAUGGACCAUGCCCAAGUUGCUCACAGGGCACUUAAUAAAUGAGGACAAGAGAGAGAAAGAAACAGAGGCAGAAUAAGAAAGCAUUUCAGAUGGGGAUCCAAGUUGGUGCCUGUGUGAGUACUUGUGUGUCUACAUAGAAGUUGGCAAACUGUUUCCAAAGUAUAUACAGGAAUGUAAAGAGCCAAGAGUAACAAAGACAAUCUCAGAGGAGAAAGCUGGAGAACCUACAUUACCAGGCAAGAUCAACUAGCUACUGCAACAAAUGGACUCAAAAUAUGAAAUAGCACAUAAUGGAAAUGUAUUUCUUGUUUACAAGAGUAAACAGAUCAGAGAACAAUUCUCCUCCAAAUGGCCAACAGAUACUCUGCCAUCUUCACCCUAUGCCAUCCAAGACUUCCCUGACAGUCUUCUCUAUUCCACUAGACAGGAAGCAAAUAAAGCUUAAAGGACCAUACAUGGGAGUUUUUAAUGAGUCAAGUCUAGAAAUGAUAUAUAUCCACUGUGUUCAUACUUCAUUGGUUAGACCUCAGGAAAUGUCCACACAAAAAAAGCAAGAAUAGCUAGGAAAAGUCUAUUUCUAACAUC